rnacentral:tRNA from 1 species
GGAAGUGUGGCCGAGUGGUUUAAGGCUCUAGUCUUGAAAACUAGCGUGGGGGGAACUCCACCGUGGGUUCGAAUCCCACCGCUUCCG